GUGGCUAUAGUAUAGUGGUUAUUACACCGGGUUGUGGUCCCGGAUAUGAGGGUUCAAUUCCCUCUAGCCACC
rnacentral:tRNA from 1 species